CUAGCCGCCUCUCUCUUCCUCCCCCUAGCCGUCUCUCUCUUCCCCCGCCCCUCACGCCGCCACCCUGCCUCCUCUCCGGCCGUGGCUGUCACCCCCCCUGCCCCCUCGCUCGUCCUCUUGCAUCUCCCGGAGGGGGCGCCGCCACCGGUAGCACCGCUGCUCCUCCGUCGAGCUCGAGCGUCCCCAUUGCCAGGAGGAGCGGAGGUUGCCACUCCCGUAACUGCUCGGCCCUCUCUCCCUCGUAGCGGCUCAUCGGGGCGGCGGUCUGCAGGCUAGAGCCUGAGCUCCUUGGGCAGCUGCUGAACUGUCGAACCAUGUGUUUUUAUCACCUAAACUUCUGCGAGCCGUAGUUUCUCACUGCCCAUUUGUUCUGUGUAUUCCUCUGAUAUAUGUAGCUGUGCAAUUUUUGUAAUAAUUCUUUGAAGAGGAAUGCUUGCUUUGGUUAAGACUGACAUAUGAGGUUCCCUGAGUUGUACUUAUCCUCCAUCGUGUGUUCAUCACCGCCUCCAGCCGUGCUUCGAGUACGCGGCGUCCUUUGGCGGCGAGGAGGCCCGAGGCGAGGCGGCGCCUGCCGCCAGUCCCCAACCCCGUGCCUCUAGCCCCUUCUUCGCGCACGCGAUGAAACGGUCGCUGAUGUGGGAGAGGCCUUCAGUGACGAGGAGGCCCAGGGCGACACAGCCUGCAGUGGCGCUGGUGCUCCCAGUGCAACCACUCUAACGACGGCUAGAUCCAUUGUUCUUGUCGUCGUUGGGCUGGAUUGGUUGUCGCGCUCAUCGACCUAUGGGAGCUCCUUUUGGUCGACCCCCUCGUCUGUUCAUUGUUGGAUCUGUGGCAGCCUUCAUGUCUUCGUCCAGGGACUUACAGGAGUGCACUUUGGCUGGAUCCUACUAGGGAUGAAUUGUUUAACUUGCUGACAUGCAUCCGGAGAGAAUAUUGAUGGCUAGGGUUGAUUGUGCAACAAAGAUGGCAAAAAAAAUCAGGUACUUCUGAAUGUCGGUGGACCAGAUAGGGUUUCAAAAUUACAGAUGGCUGAGUCUGUUGCUGAAGUUCGUGGAUACAACAAGUCGAUAAUCAAAUCUGUGCCUGCAGCAUCGGUUAAUCAGGGUGUAGCUUCACCGUCAGACAUAUCCAUGGAUAUCACCAAAGCUAACUGAAAAGCUCGGUAUCCAGCCGCUUACAUUCCUGGUUGGAGUCAGAGCUAUACACUUGACGCAGAAGCCAGUACAUGAUAUUUAUAAAUUGUUUGUUCAAGUUCCUCCACAAAAUAUCGAAGUGUGACUAAGCGCAUGAAGAUUAUGCCUUCUUCAAUGCCAUAUUAUGCUGACAAUUUUGAGGAACAAGCUGUAGAAGAGAGUAUCUGCUCAUAAUAGAGAUCCGCCUCCCCGUGACGAGGAGUUCAUUAUUUAAGUAGUUGUGCAUGCCAUUUUCAGACCAGGAGCAGCUGCAGGCUGUCACAGAACCAGUUCUAUCAUUUGUUCUGCAAUGAAGUAGGCACACUCCACAAUCUCAGUUCCUACUCUUUGUUAUGCGCUGAGAGGAGGGAAGAAGGACAAUGCGGUCGCAGCCCUAUCCGCACCCUUCCAACCUGAUUCACCCGCAGCACGCCAUGCAGGUGGCACUUUUGCUUGUGUCUUGUUAUCUUUUCGAAAUGGUGAAGCUGACAAUGAUAGCUUGUAUCACUGAUGGCCUACAAUUGACGGAGUGCUUAGAUGGUGGUUAUGUGAAGGAUGUUGUCUUCUACAAGCAGCAAGCAAAAUUGUUGUUCAAAAACAUAUCUAAAGGCCAACAUGAACCAUCAAGACUGUCAACUGAGACUGGACCAUACCGUUUCCAGGUCAGGGUAUGUAUUUACAGUACAUCAUACAUUUUUUGCUUUCAGCAAGAUGAGGAUAAUGUGACUGUUUGUGUGCGUGUGUGCUAUAUGAUACAUUUUCGCUUUCGUCAAGAUGAGGAUACUGUGACUAUUUGUGUGCGUGCGUGCGUGCUAUAUGAUACAUUUUUUGGCCAUAAUCAAGAUGAGGAUACUUGACUGUUUGUGUGGGUGCUUUAGUGGUUCUAGGUUAUUGUAGUAGUAUAACUUGGCUUCGUUUACACAAAAUCCAAAUAGAAUUUAGUUUGGAGCUGGUCAAGACAUGGUGUAGUAUUUAUAACCUAUUAAUUUGGUUGGACUGGUCAAGUGUUCUAUCAAUUCUUGCUGCAGUAUUUAUUCUGUAGUAUGUACUAGCUCUUAGACAAGAUAAUUGUUUAGCCCCUGAUUUCUUAGCUACUGGUUGGUCCUGUAAGGCUACAUCCUUGCUUUCUGAUUAGUGUUAUUUGAAUCUAUAGCAGUGGAUAUGCAUAGAAGAUCCGCUAAUUCGGGUUUUUUGCCUUUAUUUAUCGUGUGAUGGCCGUUGUCGGAGCUUUGCCGCCUUCAUCUCGACUCCGUCGAGGUUCCAGGUUCAUGCUUCACCGCUCUCCCCAUCGGUGAUUUGCGGCGGCUGCGGGGUCUUCCCCUGCUUUGGUGGUGGCUGGCAGGCGUUCGCCCGGCCAGAUCUGGCGCGGAGCAGGACCUGUGAUGCAUGGCCUGGUUUACGAGGGCAGGGGACACAUGGGUCCCCUUGGUCCGGCAGCAUCGGCAGGACGCUGUGUGCCCGUCUGCUUUCUUGCUAGAUACGUGUUUGGGAAAAAUCUACAAUACUCCUUCGAGGUUUACACAUCAAUUGCAAAGGGUUUUCGGAAUGCAUCACUAUAUUGAUUUUGGUUUAUACAUGAAUUGCAGAGAGUUUUAGAAAAGUAUCAUAUUGUUUUGGGUUUAUAUACGAAUUGUAAAAUGUUUUAAGCAUGUGAAAAUCAGAGCUCAUGCGGCAGGUGAUUUUUUUUCUUGCUUCUAAUGCUACGAUGAUGUUAUGUAUACUAAAAAGGACUCGUGCACACUUGCUUUGCUCCCUACUGUUUAUGAUCAGUUGCCAAACAUUAUAAUAGGAUAUAACAUUGCUUCAAAACUAAGUAUGUUCCUUGGUGAUGGUGUAUUUAUUAUGAAAAUAAAUAGGACUGCUUACCCAUGGUGAUGUGGUAUUGCUACUCGAGUACUUACCCUAUUUCUGUGACAAAGGCCUGUGAUAGAUAUGGUUAGACACAUAUUGAGCGUCCAAUUUCAUAAAUAUUGAGCAUACAGUUUCAACUUAAACUUAAACAUGAGAUUGUCUUGUUGUCGAGUUGUGUUCAGUUCUUUCCAUGUAGAACUUACUAGAAAUUCUUGCAUACAUCCUAAACAAAUAAAGAACUGUAUGCAUUUAAAUUAAGCAGUUCCGAAGAAAGAAUUAUUUCAAGUUAUUUUGUUUGGAGAUGAGUUUCCUUUUCUACACUUUUGUGUGAAGGAUGGAGCCUCCACAAUGCCUAUGAGCCAUGCUUUUUCCCACCCAGUAAAAUGGUCUAUUUUCAAGUGGCAUCAUACGGCGAAGGAGGGGAUCUGAAUCAAGAGCCGUAAUGGUGCUUGUGAUGGUAUGUCUAGCACUUGCGCGACCCUGGAGUCUGGCUUCUUCUUGCAAGUAAGAUCCUUUUGCUCUUCUAUGCCCCCCACCUCUCUUGUGAGGAUCUCUGGUUGUAUUUGGGUAACCAGACCCCAAGAGAUGUAAUCCUAUUUGGAUAUGAACCUUGUGUGCUAGCUUGAUUUAGUUUAUAGGAGUAGAUUUUAUAGAUGAACUGUGUACGCUAGCUUGAUGGUGAUACAUGCCAUAUCUCUAGAUUGACUCCAUGGGGUAUCCAUUAAUGUCUGAGGUUUCGCAAGGAAAUGAGUUUCUUGCAUUCUCAUGUUGAAAAGAAUUGAAGAAACCUAGCAGAAUAUGGUGCCAAAGUUUUUAGUUCUUAUUGGGUUCGUCCAACUAUCAAGGUUGACCAUACUAUUGUGAGAAUCUCGGCUAUGAAUCAUUCUUUAUAUCAUGUUGGAUUAUCUUGGAAUUCGUAGAGCCAUUUACCGUCGAAGGAUGUACUCACAGAACACAAUCAGUGUGAUUAUGCUUUACUACACUUCUGUCCAGAGUAAUGGGAUAUGUAUUCUGUACUGUACAGCUACCCUCUAAUGCACUACCCAUCAGCCUUCAAUCUCUAUAUGUACAAAUGACUUUCUAAUUAUUAUGAAUGACAUGUGGAGUGUGCUGCUUUCUA